rnacentral:rRNA from 1 species
GAUGAACGCUGGCGGCGUGCCUAAUACAUGCAAGUCGAGCGAACAGACGAGGAGCUUGCUCCUUCGACGUUAGCGGCGGACGGGUGAGUAACACGUAGGUAACCUACCUAUAAGACUGGGAUAACUUCGGGAAACCGGAGCUAAUACCGGAUAAUAUUUCGAACCGCAUGGUUCGAUAGUGAAAGAUGGCUUUGCUAUCACUUAUAGAUGGACCUGCGCCGUAUUAGCUAGCUGGUAAGGUAACGGCUUACCAAGGCAACGAUACGUAGCCGACCUGAGAGGGUGAUCGGCCACACUGGAACUGAGACACGGUCCAGACUCCUACGGGAGGCAGCAGUAGGGAAUCUUCCGCAAUGGGCGAAAGCCUGACGGAGCAACGCCGCGUGAGUGAUGAAGGUCUUCGGAUCGUAAAACUCUGUUAUUAGGGAAGAACAAACGUGCAAGUAACUGUGCACGUCUUGACGGUACCUAAUCAGAAAGCCACGGCUAACUACGUG